UUUAAAUUUAGUUAGGUGUUUUAGUUGGAGUAUAAGUGGUUCAGUGUCAUUUACACUUCUAAUUUCUGGAGAAUUUGGACAGGAGAAAGUAGAAAUCGACCAGCUUGCUAAAGUAUGUUGGAGUUUAUGAUCAGCACAGUUUUCAAUUCAAUGAUUGAAUGCAGUUAUAAAUGUCUGAGCUAGAAGAGACGGCAGAGGAGGUGGGGAGAUGCCUGUGUUUAAAUAAGACAGAGAGAGGAUUCGGGCGGUAUAGGGGUCAAGAAUUAGGGGUGUCACCUCCCCUAUUUGACAUGGUGUUUGCAAGCCUCUAGGAAGAGGAUCAAUUUGGGAGGAUGCCUUACUUAUUAAUUAGAGAAUGAGAGGGAGGGAUCACGAAAGAAAAGUUACCAUGAGGCAGGCAAUGGGUCUGACAAAAAGAACCAAAGGCCGAAGCUGCAGUGGGUGGUUUCCAGUGAGAAGCUGUGUCCCAAAUGUGGCAGUAAAGUACAGAGGAUGGUCCGCCACAUGAGAGAGGUGCAUGGCACUGAGAGGCAUCACCCCUGUCCCAUUUG